UACGGGGGGGCAAGCGUUGUUCGGAAUUACUGGGCGUAAAGGGCUCGUAGGUGGCCAACUAAGUCAGACGUGAAAUCCCUCGGCUUAACCGGGAACUGCGUCUGAUACUGGAUGGCUUGAGUUCGGGAGAGGGAUGCGGAAUUCCAGGUGUAGCGGUGAAAUGCGUAGAUAUCUGGAGGAACACCGGUGGCGAAGGCGGCAUCCUGGACCGACACUGACACUGAGGAGCGAAAGCCAGGGAGC
rnacentral:rRNA from 1 species